UACAGAGGUGGCAAGCGUUGUUCGGAAUCACUGGGCGUAAAGGGCGCGUAGGCGGCCAUCUAAGUCAGACGUGAAAUCCCCCGGCUUAACCUGGGAACUGCGUCUGAUACUGGACGGCUUGAGUAUGGGAGAGGGAUGUAGAAUUCCAGGUGUAGCGGUGAAAUGCGUAGAUAUCAGGAAGAACACCCGUGGCGAAGGCGGCUCUCUGGGACGGUACUGACGCUGAGACGCGAAAGCGUGGGGAGCGAACAGG
rnacentral:rRNA from 1 species